rnacentral:lncRNA from 1 species
CCUUAUCAUCCAAAUAUCAUCCAAGUAUCUCCGGGCAGCUUCCGCCACACACGCCGUAACUCCUAUCACCCUACUGCUCCUCAGUCCUCAGUAUACCAUAGCUUGGCUUCCCCGAAUGGCCGUUCCCAUUUAUAACUACUACUGUUCCCCGCUCCUCGGUUGCCUGCCCUGUGCCUUCCCCUUCUCCUCCUUUCCACCGUAUCGUCAGCUACACCUUCUCUCACCCAAUUCUUUACACUCCUCUUCUUCUUCGCUUUACCAUUUAAAAAAUCAAAGUAUUACUAGCGCUACGAUUACGGUAUGAUGAGAGGAUCUCAUUUACUGAUGCUUGCUCAACUCUUUUCGGAAAAGAAAUCGACGGAAUUGGAAGAAGGAAGAAACAGCUACAGUUAAAAAAGAUUUCAGGCCCAAAUCGGGCAGAAAGCAACGGAAAGCGCAGAAAGGCAGCAAAAUAUAUUUUUAAAUUGCCCAUUCUACCCCUAAAAAACUGUUGAAUAAAAUAUUUAUUUACUUAUAUAUCCAAAAUCACCUGCUUUCUUUCAUAAACUCCCAAACAACAUUAAAAUAUCUUCUCUUCUUUUCUUAUCCUUUCUUCCCUCUCGUAACUUAACCUCUCUCUUCUUUUCUUUUCUAUCCUCAACUCACAAACUAGCUAUAAAUCUCAUUGGAUUAGGAAUUAAAAACCAGAAGAAGGAGCUGUUUGGGGGUGAAGGUGUAAUAUAACUGUAAGAGAAAGGGCCGAAGCACGAAUAAAGCGGAGAUGGGAUGGCGGCGCCCCCACACCUUAUCAUCCAAAUAUCAUCCAAGUAUCUCCGGGCAGCUUCCGCCACACACGCCGUAACUCCUAUCACCCUACUGCUCCUCAGUCCUCAGUAUACCAUAGCUUGGCUUCCCCGAAUGGCCGUUCCCAUUUAUAACUACUACUGUUCCCCGCUCCUCGGCUGCCUGCCCUGUGCCUUCCCCUUCUCCUCCUUUCCACCGUAUCGUCAGCUACACCUUCUCUCACCCAAUUCUUUACACUCCUCUUCUUCUUCGCUUUACCAUUUAAAAAAUCAAAGUAUUACUAGCGCUACGAUUACGGUAUGAUGAGAGGAUCUCAUUUACUGAUGCUUGCUCAACUCUUUUCGGAAAAGAAAUCGACGGAAUUGGAAGAAGGAAGAAACAGCUACAGUUAAAAAAGAUUUCCGGCCCAAAUCGGGCAGAAAGCAACGGAAAGCGCAGAAAGGCAGCAAAAUAUAUUUUUAAAUUGCCCAUUCUACCCCUAAAAAACUGUUGAAUAAAAUAUUUAUUUACUUAUAUAUCCAAAAUCACCUGCUUUCUUUCAUAAACUCCCAAACAACAUUAAAAUAUCUUCUCUUCUUUUCUUAUCCUUUCUUCCCUCUCGUAACUUAACCUCUCUCUUCUUUUCUUUUCUAUCCUCAACUCACAAACUAGCUAUAAAUCUCAUUGGAUUAGGAAUUAAAAACCAGAAGAAGGAGCUGUUUGGGGGUGAAGGUGUAAUAUAACUGUAAGAGAAAGGGCCGAAGCACGAAUAAAGCGGAGAUGGGAUGGCGGCGCCCCCACACCUUAUCAUCCAAAUAUCAUCCAAGUAUCUCCGGGCAGCUUCCGCCACACACGCCGUAACUCCUAUCACCCUACUGCUCCUCAGUCCUCAGUAUACCAUAGCUUGGCUUCCCCGAAUGGCCGUUCCCAUUUAUAACUACUACUGUUCCCCGCUCCUCGGCUGCCUGCCCUGUGCCUUCCCCUUCUCCUCCUUUCCACCGUAUCGUCAGCUACACCUUCUCUCACCCAAUUCUUUACACUCCUCUUCUUCUUCGCUUUACCAUUUAAAAAAUCAAAGUAUUACUAGCGCUACGAUUACGGUAUGAUGAGAGGAUCUCAUUUACUGAUGC